rnacentral:rRNA from 1 species
CCUACGGGUGGCAGCAGUGAGGAAUAUUGGUCAAUGGGCGCGAGCCUGAACCAGCCAAGUAGCGUGAAGGAUGACUGCCCUACGGGUUGUAAACUUCUUUUAUAAAGGAAUAAAGUGAGGCACGUGUGCCUUUUUGUAUGUACUUUAUGAAUAAGAAUCGGCUAACUCCGUGCCAGAAGCCGCGGUAAUACGUAGGAACCGAGCGUUUUCCGGGUUUAUUUGGUUUAAAGGAAGCGGAGUUGGGUUGUUAAGUCAGUUGGGAAAGUUUGCGGCUCAACCGUAAAAUUGUCAUUGAUACUGGCAGUCUUGAGUACAGUUGAGGUAGGCGGAAUUCGUGGUGUAGCGGUGAAAUGCUUGGAUAUCACGCAGAACUCCGAUUGCGAAGGCAGCUUACUAAACUGCAACUGACAUUGAUGCUCGAAAGUGUGGGUAUCAAACAGGAUUAGAUACCCUAGUAGUC